GCCAUGUAAACGUUCUUUGCUCCUGCUUCGUCUUCUGCCGUGAUUGUGAGGCCUCCCCAGCCAUGUGGAACUACUCAUCACUCACUGCAGAUGUUACUUUAAGACAUUCUGGAGCAGCGUCAUGUGCAGGAACAAUAAGGAAGUGAGUGCUUUUGUAAUUCCUGAACAACUGUGUCUUACACUUACUAAGUUCUCUUGCCUGCCACCAUGUAAGAUAUGCUUUUACUCUUCCGCCUUCCACCGUGACUGUGAGGCCUCCCCAGCCAUGUGAAACUGCCUUUGAGCUUAUACUGAAUUAUACCACCAGCUUUCCUAGGUCUUGAAGCUUACAGACAGCAGAUCUUGGGACUUCUCAGGCACCAUAAUCAAUCAUAGAUAAAUGAUCCAAUGAUUCGGAACUUGAAAAGUGGUAGCUUUAUGAAUUCUCCUUAAGAAGAAACCUGUGCCCUGAUCUUGCCUACUCACCCAAAGGCACUGUGAGAUAGCAUCAAAGGAACAGCUAGUAAGAGACACAGAGCCAGAAAUCAGGGAAGUAAAAUACACUUGACAUCUACGUUCGGAAAGAAAUUUUAGGAGGCAGAAGCAAAUGGAUCAGAAGCUGCUUAUAUUUUUGCAAGAUUACCAAAGAAACCAUUGGUGGAGAAAGUUCUGUGACCAACUUGUCUGAGUCUAGUAAGAUUGAACGCUCACACACAAGUUUCAUGAAGUGGGUUUGAUACUUACAGAUAAGCAGCAAGGACCAACAGAAGCUGAUGAUCUAUGGUGAACUUUUUCCCAAGGCUCCGGAAAGCUGCCUAAAGUAGAUGGAGUCUUCUCUGUGUGUGCCCCACUGGUCCUGCAGUUGAAGGAUCCGGUAAAGCAGCCUGCCCUUGGUUUUAUACUCCAGAGGAACGUGAUUCGCUGGACUAAAGCAUUGAAGUGCAUCCUGUUUCCGGGGGGCACUGGAACAGAGCCUGGUCUGUUCUAGCCAGUCCCUUUCUAUCUCAGGAUAACAUUCUACAGUUAUUCUUGAGAACUAUAAUCAAAUAAGCAGGGAGAACUGGGAAAGCAGAGGCUCAUUGUGGAACCCUCAAGGAGCAUGGGGUCGUCUUCAUCCCUCAGUUUAUAAAUGGCCAAGGAGAGUAAUGCAACAAAAACUUCUCAGAGUUAAAAGCCAGAGUUCCUAAAGAACCGUGGACAAAGGGUUCUGUCUAGUGGGCAGAAUUCAUCCAGCGAAGGUGCUUACUGCACUCCCAGCAUGUGCUUGGGAACUUUAUUAAAAUUCCUUCCUAUUGAGAUUUAAAUUGCUGUCCAGAAUUAUACAAUAUAAUGAAUGGGGGCAUUCAUUAUGUGUAUUCUAUGCCUUCUCCAUCAUUGCAUAUUCAGUCCUCGUGCUAGAGAGAGGCAGAUAAUCUACCUUUUAAAUUGAUAGGUCUCCUAACUACAGAGGGUCACAUCUGGAUCUGAUGGCACCUACAGAACUUGGACUCUGAGCGACAAUCAGUGACCAGGAAAUUUGGAACCCAGGUUUUCCCAACCUACAUCUACAAAAUGGAAUGGGUCUGAUUCGCAAGUUUUCAGAGAAAGAAGCCAACCUUAAUCAGACUGUGAUAUGAUGAGGAAAUAAAACUUGCUGUGCUAAUCAA
ensembl:lncRNA LINC02241 long intergenic non-protein coding RNA 2241